UACGUAGGGUGCAAGCGUUGUCCGGAAUUAUUGGGCGUAAAGAGCUCGUAGGCGGCUUGUCACGUCGACUGUGAAAACCCGGGGCUCAACUCCGGGCCUGCAGUCGAUACGGGCUGGCUUGAGUGCGGUAGGGGAGACUGAAAUUCCUGGUGUAGCGGUGAAAUGCGCAGAUAUCAGGAGGAACACCGGUGGCGAAGGCGGGUCUCUGGGACGUGACUGACGCUGAGACGCGAAAGCGUGGGGAGCGAACAGG
rnacentral:rRNA from 1 species